rnacentral:rRNA from 1 species
CACGUAGGGUGCGAGCGUUGUCCGGAAUUAUUGGGCGUAAAGAGCUCGUAGGCGGUGUGUCGCGUCGGCCGUGAAAACCUGCAGCUUAACUGUGGGCUUGCGGUCGAUACGGGCAUCACUGGAGUUCGGCAGGGGAGACUGGAAUUCCUGGUGUAGCGGUGAAAUGCGCAGAUAUCAGGAGGAACACCGGUGGCGAAGGCGACACGCUGGGCCAUACCUGACGCUAAAGCGCGACAGCAUGGGGAGCAAACGGG